rnacentral:rRNA from 1 species
GAUGAACGCUGGCGGCGUGCCUAAUACAUGCAAGUCGAGCGAACAGACGAGGAGCUUGCUCCUCUGACGUUAGCGGCGGACGGGUGAGUAACACGUGUAUAACCUACCUAUAAGACUGGGAUAACUUCGGGAAACCGGAGCUAAUACCGGAUAAUAUAUUGAACCGCAUGGUUCAAUAGUGAAAGACGGUUUUGCUGUCACUUAUAGAUGGAUCCGCGCCGCUUUAGCUAGUUGGUAAGUUAACGGCUUACCAAGGCAACUAUGCGUAGCCGACCGAAGAGGGUGAUCGGCCACACUGGAACUGAGACACCGUCCAGACUCCUACGGGAGGCAGCAGUAGGGAAUCUUCCGCAAUGGGCGAAAGCUUGACGGAACAACGCCGCGUGAGAGAUAACGGUCUUGCGAUCGUAAAGCUCUGUUAUUAGGGAAGAACAAAUGUGUAAGUAACUAUGCACGUCUUGACGGUACCUAAUCAGAAAGCCACGGCUAACUACGUG